rnacentral:rRNA from 1 species
UACGAAGGGGCUAGCGUUGUUCGGAUUUACUGGGCGUAAAGCGCACGUAGGCGGAUCUUUAAGUCAGAAGGUGAAAUCCCAAGGCUCAACCUUGGAACUGCCUUUGAUACUGGGGAUCUUGAGUCCGGGAGAGGUGAGUGGAACUGCGAGUGUAGAGGUGAAAUUCGUAGAUAUUCGCAAGAACACCGGUGGCGAAGGCGGCCAACUGGACCAUCACUGACGCUGGAGGCGCGAAAGCGUGGGGAGCGAACAGG